rnacentral:rRNA from 1 species
UGGGGAAUUUUGCACAAUGGGGGAAACCCUGAUGCAGCGACGCCGCGUGAUUUAGAAGGCCUUCGGGUUGUAAAAAUCUUUUCUAUGGGAAGAAAAUGACAGUACCAUAGGAAUAAGGACCGGCUAAUUACGUGCCAGCAGCCGCGGUAAUACGUAAGGUCCGAGCGUUGUCCGGAAUCAUUGGGCGUAAAGGGUACGUAGGCGGGUAAGCAAGUUAGAAGUGAAAUCCUAUAGCUCAACUAUAGUAAGCUUUUAAAUCUGCUCAUCUUGAGGUAUGGAAGGGAAAGUGGAAUUCCUAGUGUAGCGGUGAAAUGCGCAGAUAUUAGGAGGAAUACCGGUGGCGAAGGCGACUUUCUGGCCAUAACCUGACGCUGAGGUACGAAAGCGUGGGUAGCAAACAGG